CUCUGAAAUAACCAUACCUGUUGGAAAAAGGAAGUGGGGGAGAAAAUAAUCUCUUAACAUAGCAAAAAAGUGAAGAGCUCCCCAGCAAAGCAAAGCCGGAGCAGAUCCAAUGGGCCGACUCUAGUCAACAGGCUCUGCCUUCCCUUCCUGUUGCUUGGAUCCACAGCCUUCACCUGCACCUAGUAUUUAUCCCACCAGAUCCCCCCCCC